rnacentral:lncRNA from 1 species
UCGCUUCCAUACUUUAAUUAUCAUUUAUUUUUUUUGGAUAUUUGCGAGGUCGUUACACCCUCAACAGAUUGUACUCCACUUGAUCAACAGUCUAGAAUCACCAUACAUAAAUACAUUUAAAUUUAAUUAAUAGAAAUAAAUUAAACCUAAAAGAAACUACUAAUAAUGGUUGUUUUGGGUAAGUACUACAACAAUCUGGUUCUUCGGUAUUCGAUGAACCACCACUUUAGCUCUUUGUGUAGGGUUGGACGAUCUGAUUUCCAAAAUCUACACGUAUACACAUACAUAUGUAUUAACACCUGUAUUCACCAAACUCAAUAACAAGGAAGGAAAAGGAAGGUUACCGAAUUUGAUUAGGUGCAGUGAAGGCCAAACAACUUCACUUUUCUCGAUUUUCACUAUGGGAGACAAUUUUCGAUUUUCCCCAAGAAGACCCUCACUCACCAUGGCGAGGUGAGUGCUCUAGCUCCCGAAACCUACACACAAACACACAUGAAUACCUAUUUUGUCGAGAACACACACUGAAAGAGGAAAAGGAACGCACUUGGUUCGAGUGGAGUGCUCUGAAAACCCGAACAACCUCGGGUUCUUAACUCAUAGCUUUCGGAGGAUGGUCUCCCUGGGUUUCCUGAGAGCACUCCUCGCUUACUUGGAAGAUUUGAUGAUUGGUUUCACACCUACACGCCGGUUAGUGUAAAAUAGAAAAAUGAAAUCUAAAAAAAAAUAGAAAGGACGAAACUUAUUGAUUUUCAAACACUGACGUCGAGUGCAACACGGUGUUUCUCGGGCACGAUUCCCUUUUCUUUCCUUCCCUUCGGCUUUUCGCCUCUGCGACACCUCCUCCUUUCCCUUUUCGGUUGCAUUUCCUUCUCCCCUUAUAAUUUCUUUAUUUAUCUCUCUCUCGUGCUACGUUCUCUUCUCCUUAUCGGCCCGACGACUCCUCAAUCUCGGCCUCCUCUCUCACCCCAUUAGCCCCUCUCUUCCUUUCUCAUUUUAGUUUUCAUUUACUUAAUGAAGGAGAAAACCCUAAUUGUUUCUUUAAAUACCCAUCUCCUUAGCCGUCUGAUCUUGCAAGAUUCAAUAUGGACUGUUUAAUAUGAUGAAAUUGUAAGUCGUUGGAUCAGUUAGACGGUU